GGUAUAGCUCAGUGGUAGAAUGUUUGCCCAGCAUGCUGAAGAGCCUGGUUUCAAUUCCCAUACCA
rnacentral:tRNA from 1 species